UGUGACCUGCAUUUGUGGCUCACAUUUUGAUUUUUGGGGAGUGCUGGCCCAAAUGACCUCCAAAGUGGCGAUACCAAACUCACCCCAACAGCGAUGCUUCUGAACUCCCUGAGAUUUUUGCUAACAUGUGAUGCACUGGAGAGAAUGCCUGCCGCCAAGAAACUGAGAAGAGCAACCGAUUCAAGAGUGCAAGUGAUUUGAAAAUAACAGUCUGAGCCACACUGUAAACUGGAGGCAGCCCGUUGUUCUCUGACAUGCAGAGGACACAGAGACGCUCCUUUGGAACUGAGUGUGCUGAUCCAGCACUUCCCUUGGCUCCCCACCAAGAGCGUAAACAUCUGUGCUUUAAAAAUCUGAACCCAGACUUAAAAAAAACCACCCCACAACUUUAAAUACAUUCUACAAUGCUUUACAGAAGCAAACAAAAACAACAAAGCCAUAGGAUCACAAUGAUUAAAAAGCUGGUUUUUGUUUAAAACACCUAGCAUGGACUGGACACACAAAUGUUCCUAACCUGCCAACUGAUUUCCCCAAAUUAUAUCAGGUGCGUACUGUAAUAUCUGCUUCAUGAGAAGACCAGGUGCUUCCACGGCGACUCCUGAAAGCCCUGCCAACAGGAGAGAGGCCAGCUGACACUGGGGGCAGGUCGGGCUGGGGCAGAGAACUGGAGAGCGUCUGGCCCAUGGACAUGCCCUGCAGAGCUGAGCAGAGAACUGAGAUGGAAGAAAACACCCAGGAUUAUGCUGUGGGAACAAAGGAGAGCUUCUAACCCACAAAUAUGUCCCUAUCGAUCUGCACAGGCUCUGACUUCACGCAGAGCUUCACUUUACAGAAGAAAUAGAACCUGAAGUCAGUGUAUGUGACAUAUUGUGAAAAAUCCUCUAUUAUAAAAAGGCCAUGGUCACGCCCUCACACCAUAAUGACUGGUCACCAGGAGGCUACACGCGUCGCAAGGCACAUAUGAUUAAAAACAGAAAAAUUAUUACUGAGCGGGGAACCCAAUAAAAAGCCCUAUUAUUGGAAAGAAAAGGAGGAUUCUGCAUUCACUUCUAGUUAAAGCUAGAACGUGGAAGAUGAAGGCGGUGACCAUCAGCUAGAGAGAGGCUGGCUGCUGACGCUGGGAACUCAGGUGGGUCCGACCAUGUUCCUCACGUAGCUGGAGCUCCGGCCGGAAGUGCCCUGUGUCUGAGCCACUGCUGAAGAUGGUGCUUUGCCGCAGGACCG